UUCGACCUCAAAUCAGGUAGGACUACCCG
rnacentral:rRNA from 1 species